GACAGAGGGUGCAAACGUUGUUCGGAAUUACUGGGCGUAAAGCGCGUGUAGGCGGUCGUGCAAGUCGGGUGUGAAAGCCCCGGGCUUAACCCGGGAAGUGCUUUUGAUACUGCAGAGCUUGAAUGUGGGAGAGGGUAGUGGAAUUCCAGGUGUAGUGGUGAAAUACGUAGAUAUCUGGAGGAACACCGGUGGCGAAGGCGGCUACCUGGCCCAACAUUGACACUGAGACCCGAAAGCGUGGGGAUCAAACAGG
rnacentral:rRNA from 1 species